rnacentral:rRNA from 1 species
AGUGAACGCUGGCGGUAGGCCUAACACAUGCAAGUCGAACGGCAGCACAGUAAGAGCUUGCUCUUACGGGUGGCGAGUGGCGGACGGGUGAGGAAUACAUCGGUAUCUACUUUUUCGUGGGGGAUAACGUAGGGAAACUUACGCUAAUACCGCAUACGACCUACGGGUGAAAGCAGGGGACCUUCGGACCUUGCGCGAUUGAAUGAGCCGAUGUCGGAUUAGCUAGUUGGCGGGGUAAAGGCCCACCAAGGCGACGAUCCGUAGCUGGUCUGAGAGGAUGAUCAGCCACACUGGAACUGAGACACGGUCCAGACUCCUACGGGAGGCAGCAGUGGGGAAUAUUGGACAAUGGGCGCAAGCCUGAUCCAGCCAUACCGCGUGGGUGAAGAAGGCCUUCGGGUUGUAAAGCCCUUUUGUUGGGAAAGAAAAGCAGCAGGUUAAUACCCCGCUGUUCUGACGGUACCCAAAGAAUAAGCACCGGCUAACUUCGUG